rnacentral:ribozyme from 1 species
ACACAGACACAACACAACAAUGACGCUCGGCCUCAAGUUCAUCUUCAACCAGGACAUCCGCAGGGUGUCGCUGCACAAUGAGGAGCUCAGCCUCC